GAAAUGCGAUAAGUAAUGCGAAUUGCAGAAUCCGUGAGUCAUCGAAUCUUUGAACGCACAUUGCGCCCUCUGGUAACCCGGAGGGCAUGCCUGUCUGAGCGUCAUUUCAACCCUCAGGACCCGUUCGCGGGACCUGGCGUUGGGGAUCAGCCUGCCCCUGGCGGCGGCUGGCCCUGAAAUCCAGUGGCGGUUCCCUCGCGAACUCCUCCGUGCAGUAAUUAAACCUCUCGCGGCAGGAUAGCGGUUGAACCACGCCGUUAAACCCCCCACUUCUCAAGGUUGACCUCAGAUCAGGUAGGAAUACCCGCUGAACUUAAGC
rnacentral:misc_RNA from 1 species